UUGCACGUAACCUUCAAAGUACUGGAAGU
rnacentral:piRNA from 1 species